GUUUGUGGGUUAAUUCUUGGCCCUUUAUGUAUGAAAAUAUAUAAGUAUCAUACCGUCAAUUGCUGGGAUAUCUUAAGAUUUUGCCACAGUUUGAGAUUUUAUCUCGUUCUCGAUGCAGCCGGAGGACGAGGCAGGAAGAGUAGCGUAGCAACUAGCCGACUCGGGGGUUUGCAGGUAAGGUCAAGCGAGCAACCAGCUUCGCUUAGCCGGGGUUGGCACUAGUUCUGAGGCCAAGGGGGGGGGGGAAAAGUCGGUAAUAAGUCCAAGUCGGGACUAGUAAAAAUUAUACGAGGAGUAGGGGAUGGCUCCUAGGUUCAACUAAAAGCUUUGCGAAAAUCUUUUAUGCUUAGUAUCUGCAGCCAACUGGCUAAGAUCGGGAAGGCGGGUAAAUUUUAAGACAAUCAGCAGGGAAGCUAAGAGUCGAGGGGGAUUCUUAGUACCUUCAGAGACUAAAAAUGGAAUACCCUCUGAUAUCGGUAUAACUAGACGUAAGGGGGUAAAUAUAUAGUCCUAAUCCUUUGUGUGAAUAAGGG
rnacentral:ncRNA from 1 species